rnacentral:sRNA from 1 species
GCUGGGCACGGUGGUGCCUGUCUGUAAUCCCAGCUUCUCAGGAGGCUGAGGCUGGGUGCUUGGCAAGUUGAGGCCAGCCUGGGCAAAGUAGUGAGACCCUGUCUUAA